AACGCACAUUGCGCCCUCUGGUAUUCCGGGGGGCAUGCCUGUUCGAGCGUCAUUUCACCACUCCAGCCUCGCUGGGCCUUGGGCGCCGCUGCUCUGUCGGCGCGCCCCAAUGUCUCCGGCUGAGCCGUCCGUCUCAAAGCGUUGUGGCAACUCAUCCGCUUGUGGGACCGGGGGGCUCGUCGCCGUCAAAACACACCAUUUUACCAGGUUGACCUCGGAUCAGGUAGGGAUACCCGCUGAACUUAA
rnacentral:misc_RNA from 1 species